rnacentral:rRNA from 1 species
UGAGGAAUAUUGCGCAAUGGGGGCAACCCUGACGCAGCAACGCCGCGUGAGUGAGGAAGGUUUUCGGACCGUAAAGCUCUGUCGAGCGGGAAGAAAUGUAUCGUGGCUAAUAUCCAUGAUAUUUGACGGUACCGCUAAAGGAAGCACCGGCUAACUCCGUGCCAGCAGCCGCGGUAAUACGGGGGGUGCAAGCGUUGUUCGGAAUCAUUGGGCGUAAAGCGCGUGUAGGCGGCUUGACAAGUCAGAUGUGAAAUCCCUGGGCUUAACUCAGGAAGUGCAUUUGAAACUGUCAGGCUAGAGUAAGGGAGAGGAAAGUGGAAUUCCUGGUGUAGAGGUGAAAUUCGUAGAUAUCAGGAGGAACACCGGUGGCGAAGGCGACUUUCUGGCCCUAUACUGACGCUGAGACGCGAAAGCGUGGGUAGCAAACA